GUUGGGCUAAACCAAUGAAUAAGUGGGCCAGGCUCUCUCUGUUAUUCCUAUAGCCUUGGCGGUUCAUUAUGGCAGACUGCUGGAGGAGAAACAGACCCCUCUUUUCAGAAGUCUCAACUGAUUGCUCACACAGGUCUUUUGAAAUUAUGACUAGAGCUUCAUGCCCCGUGACACAGGUUGCCCAUCCUGAUCCAGACAAAUCAUGAUACCAUAAGAAAUAACCCCUAGAGGCAAGGAGAAAAGAAAGCCCUAUUCAGCCUUUAUACCAUGAAACAGAACAGACCUGAAUGAGCACAACACAUCUGGAGUGAUGGAAAAAGAUCAGCCCGCUUUUGCAAUUAGCAGCACUUGCAGGACAAAGAAUUGUAGACACUUUGGGAACUAGGCUCUAUCUUGGGCAGCAUAGAACUAUCAGAAUGACUUCUGCUUUGCACUAUAAUCAACUACAGCUGGGAAAGUAGGGAAUGUAUAUGGUGAGGCCCCUUUACCAAAAAGUCAUCAAUUUUAUACACCUCUGAGCAAAAUCCACUAAGGAAGUCAAGAAGGGAAAGUAAGGAGAACAACAUAACAACACAGAGGCCACACAAAGCACCAAAAAACCUCUGUUAUCCUGACCAGACAAAAGGGAAGAUCUAGAAGAGCAAGGUUUCUUUCUGUUAAAUUCAUGAGUAAAUACUGUCCACCCCAAGGAGAAGAUCCUAGGAAAAGGCAACUUUCUGACAAUUUAUAGGAGAAAGCUCUCCACAAAUAGAGAUGUCUAUGUACCAUUCAACAACCAUGCUUCUAUAUGAAUCUAAAAGCCACAGAAUAUGAAGGGAGUAUCUCAGUUUCAGUGAAGGUCAAACUCAAAAAAAACAAGCAUCACAAAAUUCUGCCUUUGAUUCUUUAAUAAGGUUUUGGUAGUAUACAAGCUUUCUUUUCCGAUUGUCUGGAUUAACAUACAUGGAUUUAAAAAAGGCACAAAAUCCAUUGCACAGCUUCAGUUUAGUUUUUGUUUCUUCUUUUUUUUAAAAGAUGAAGUUGCUUGUUAAUUGUGAUUUCAAGUGUAGGAUUUUACAGUACUCUGCAGCAUUUACAGCGUGUUCUACAUACAAGUAAUUCAGUGCAUGCUUUUAUACAGGAGACAGAAUUCAAAUUCUCUCUCACCAUUAGUCUCUCUAUAUACACAAAUAAUACAGUGCUUUUAUUCCGAAAAAAAGCUUCAGGGAUUUUUUGUUCUUCUCACAUGCUUGGUGCGCCCAGGAGAAUAGUGCAAGCAUAUUAUACAAUGUUAUUGCGGUACAAAAAGGGAAGGAAAGGCGUUCGGGAUGUUACCUUGGGUUCUAACAGGGAAUACACACGAAGAAUAAAAAAAGGCUCAGGGAAAACAAACUUUUGAACCCCUUCACAUAAAUUGGUCCUUCCAGAAUAAUUCGUCCUAUUACUUGAUAAAGUUAUAACUAGGAAUUCUACCAAAAAGAAGGGUUCCAGGGCUUCUUUAGCUUUGAUGCUGUGGUAAGAGCACUGCUGCUCUAUAUCUUUAUCUUUCUGCAACAUUUCCAAGAUUAUUCCAGCUCCUGGGGUUUUCAUUAAAAAGGACUUCUUUGAUAUUAAGAAUCAUCUCCCUGUGUAUCCUCCCCCCGCCAGACUUCAAAAUUGAUGUUUUGGAAAAAAAAAAGAUAAAAAUGUACUGCCACAACAGCCAGAUGCAAAGCUAGUGCACCUACAUCUUUUAACUGCUGGCUUGUGCACUUCUUUUCCAGAGUGAAUUCACAGAAUCAGAAGGAACCAUGCAGGUAAUCUAUUCUAAUUACUCAUUAAGUGCAAGACCUAUAAAUACAGGAUGUAAUUACAGCAUCUGUGAAAGAAGGCUGUGCAGCAUUUGCUUAAAUUUCUUCAGAAACAGGGAAUCCACUUUCUCCAGGAGAACCCUAUUUCACUGUUAAAUCACUUUUAAGACGUUUCUCCAAGUGUUUAGCUAAAACCUACUUACUUGCAUUUUCCACCAACUGGUUCUACUCCUGCCCUACAGAACAGCAAAUAUUCACCGCAGAGCCAACAUAAGGUGUGAACAUGUGUAGAUAUUGAGAAGAAAUUUUAUUCCAGAGAAGAAAUAAAUGAUCCCUCAACCUGUGCCCAAGCUCCCCACUGCAGUUAAAGAGUUUGGCUCCUCUGUAUACACAGUGACUCUGUGAAAUGGCAAAGGCUAUAGUUCUAUGCACAUCAAAUUCAAAGGAAAUCCCAUUGAACUCAAUGGGAAUUAUCUCAAUCCAUACCUAUGAACAGAACAGAAACAGAAGUUGUUAAACUCUGCACCUCUUUAUAAUACUGUGAACUGAUGAAAUCACACUUGAUCCAGCAAUGGACAGAAGCAGUAGGGCUGUAGCUCAGGACAGGGGAAGACAAUUAUGACCCUCCAGAAAUUUUUGAACUCAGCUCCCAUAAUCCUUUAUGCUAGCUAGGUCUCAUCAUGUUGUAGCUCAAGAACAUCUGGAUGUGCAUAAGUGCCCAAAUCUGCUUUAGGAGAUAAGGCAAAGGAAGAAUAUGCCAGUCCCUGAGGAUGAGGGUGAUUAUGAUUAUGCAAUGGUGGUAUGGGACACUGGAAAGCCUGAGGAACAGGAAAAAAAUAGUCAUCAAACUGUCUUUAGGCAUCAGAAACAGAAAGAGGCCUUAGCCCCGAGAAAUGUAGCUGACAAGCCAUCCCAUAACAUUUCAGUAUUCUUUAGAAAAGGAUUGUAUAAUCUGGGCUUUAGCAUAUCCUGGAAACAGGAAUACUCUCUGCCAGCGGAAUAUGAUAUUAAGAAAAAAUGAGAGAUCUUUUAUACCCCUGGAUUUGGAAGUCUUGUAAAUCUUGUAUGAGAGCUGCUUUGUGAAAUAUAAAGACACAAAUGUCCUUCAGAAGAAGCAUCUCUGUGGUUUCAAUGUGCUAGUUCCCACCAUUUGAGUAUUCUGAAUGCCAGUGCUAUGGCAUAUAGAUGCAUUAUAAUUUGCAAAUACAAUUUAUUUCAUUAUUGGCUUCAGCAUGAGCUGAUGUGGUAGCACAUCUGGAAGGCAACAUCUUGUUCUCUUAGUUCUUACCUUGAGAACAGAAAUUGUCCUACCAAAAGACAACUACUGCCCCUUCCUUCUCUGCUAAAGAGACCCACAUUAGUUGUAGUAGGGAAUAACAGCUCUGAGGGUUGCACAGACCUGGCAGUUCCUGGCAAUUCUUGGUUAUCUGUCAGUCAUAUACAAGACAGUAUCCUGUUUCACAAGUUAUGUGGAGUAACUUGGUUUUGAGGCAUUAAACUCUUAGAACCCCCAUCAGAUUACAGUGAUACCCAGGGAUCCAUGUCUACCUGGGGAAGUUUUUGGGAGCUGCAGAUUGUAACAGAAAAUGCUUUAUUACUUGAAAAUUGCUAUUACUGGUCUGGUAAUGUGACCAGGACCAGCAUUAAUUAUUUCCAAGUAUUAAAGAGUUCUCUCUCUCAUUUCCUGGCUUGCAGAGGCUUCCCCAGGUUGAAGGGUGUCAGGAAAUUACAAGGCUUGGAAUAGAAGAAAUUGACAUCUUAGACUGAAUGUAUAAAGGAAGUUGUUAAUCAGCCAUAUUGUACAGCUGUGUAUAAAGUUGAGUCAUGCUGACUAGGCAGAAGGCUGAUGUAAUUAUUAUGAGAUCACCUAAGAUGAGGUAAAAGGGACGUGGUGGCGCUGCGGACUAAACCGCAGAAGCCUGUGCUGCAGGGUCA